AUCUUUUCAUCUAAGGAAUACUGGGAAUAGUAGGAAAUUACUUCCUGUUAUCCAAGAAAUUUACAACAGAGAUAGAACGCCAGGCGGGGCAGUUCGUCAGACUUGCUGCUGAGACCCCUCGUGUAUUCGGGCAGAUUCCCGCCAUCUGACUCGGAUGCCCGCCCAACGAAUGAAUAAUUACUAAAUCACCUCGAGUCUGCUCUGGCCGUCCGAGACAUGGCGACGAGGAUGGGAUCUAAGGGCACGGUAAUGGAGAUUAACUUAAUCGGGUGCUGCCCCUGGCGCACCGGGACCCGCCGCGUAGAGAAUGCAAACGAUCUAUGGGCGCAUAUUGCUUACCACCAGGCGGUAGAAGGGGAUGAAAGAAAUAUUGAUGGCUACUUCUCCUUAAAGAGAGAAGAAGCAGUCGUGGAAGAAUGGAGAACUAAGCUAUCCCUUGGGGAGUUCGGAUGCAUAAUGGGGAGCGACCGGGUCCAUUAUUGACCCCCGGAGGAAACAUCAACUAUAUCCUUAGCCGGGGUGAAAGCGCGGAAGGCAGAAAAGCUGACCCCCGCUCAGGAGUUCGCUCAAUGCACUCGAUACUUAAGGGAAGGAGGGGAACCCACCCCCACGGACUGGUUCAACUGUCCGGAUUUGGUGCCUGGGUUGCGGGGCCAUGAGCUCCUCGUCCAGCUCCGGGAGGAUCUGGAAACUAAGGGCCGUCAUGUGCCGAGAUGGGGUCUAACUAAAUGGAAGAAGGGAAAGAUGAUGAAUGUGCUGUUCCAUGCAGUAGCGUGUCUACUAAGGGAAUACGCAAAUUUAAAGGCACAGAUGCAUACGGCGGGUAAGGAGUUGCUGGAGCGGACAGCAAAGAGCUCCAAAGCGACGCUUAUUGAAAGCACUGGCUGUAUGAUGCUGCUAGCAGAAAAUGGCGCUGAAAGAAGCACGAGCCAUCCAGGGAACCCGGAAAGGAGGGGCGGAGUUUCAGAAGACCCGGCGGGGAUCCGCCUAGCGACUCCGCCCCCUGGGGCAACGGCCCCACCUCCUUGCCACGGGGAGGGGGCAAUGGGAGGAGGAAUGUACCCAACGCUCCCAGAUGAAGAACUUAACUCUUUCUCUGCCGCAGCUCACCCGAUAGCUCUGAUGAAGCAUGUUGCGGAUGAAGAAGGAACUACGCAUACCACUGUUAUCUCUCGCACACACACCCGACCAGAAAUUCAGGAACUUUGUAGAGAAUCUAAAAUAAAACCAGAAGAAACCUUGGCCAUGUGGUUAGGACGAUUAAUAGUGGAAUUCGGAUCUGCCACUUUAGACAAGGAAGAAGCGAGUGCCCUGACCCGACAAGCGGCAUGGAGCGGAGGGCGUGCUACCUACUUGAAUGUGGUCACAGACAGUGCCCACUGGCCCAUCCCGCUCCCGGCGCUCGUAGUGGGACAGGUAACCCACAAAUUUCACACCUGGCAUGAAGGCCGCCUGCAGAAGGCUACUGCAGAGCAACUCCUCCUGGCCAUAGUUGGGAUGUCAUAUCUUUCAUGGAGCCCGAGAACGAAUCCAAUGGGACUAACAGCAGUCCAACGCAAAGAGAGAUGGGCUCAUCGCCACCUAUCGAACCCCGGGGCAAUUCCAACGCCCCUGGAAGCUAUAGAUGCCUGAGUGGAGGUAUACGGAGGAGCAAAUGCCGUUACACUCCAACUCUUUUUGAACCCAAUGGCGGGUCAACCAGUGGGAAAUCUCUUAGGCCAUCUCCCACGACUGCAGGGACUCAUGAAGCAAGGUGAAGAAGCUUCUGAUGAUAUAAGGGACUGACCUUCAGCAUACCCAGCCGAAACACUGAGACCCAGACGUCAAGAGUUUACCCCCCGGCGAGAGCCAUGGUGGUCACCUCCAAGAACCCCGAAGGAAAGAACUACAAAGGAAAGGAAUAUGUUUGGUUUUCUUCUCGCCCGCUCUGGACUUACAAAGACUCAGUUGCGAAUUUUGGGAGAAAGGGCCCAGUGUCGUCUGGCCGAAACAUUAGGAUUCAAAUUCGAAGACCCACCAAAAAACGAAUAAUGGCCGUCGGCUCUGCCGGCGGCCUUCUCCAACUCAAACCUGACCCCACUGAUCUUCGUCCAUACGCUGAACUCACUGUUUACAACCCUACUGAUCCGGAUGACCAAAAACAAGUAUUCUUCCUUCUCGAUACUGGAGCUCAAAACAAUGUGAUUACCUCAAUGAUACCUCAUCAAAAGACUACCAAAACGAUCAAGGUACAAGGGCUUAAUGCUAUCGCCGUCACAACAAAGGUCAAAUUUUGGGUCCAGGGCCACCGAUACCCCCUGGAGGCUGUCCUAGGGGGCAUCAACAUUUUAGGGAUCCCAGGGAUAAGAGCGCUUGACCUUAAAGAACAAGUGCUACAGGCAUUACCCAUUAUUAUCCCAGAACAGGAUUGGCAUCGACCAACGCUUCGUAACACCUCCACCUGGCGAUAUCGACCAAUCCCAACUAAGGGUCCUCUAAAACAAUCCCUUACUGACCUCCUGCGGCGACUCGAGCGACAAGGCUGUAUUAAGACCGUAACUGCCAGCACCUACCUGUCAUCAGGAUGGGGAGUUGCGAAACCUGGAAAGCCUAACAAAGCCUGAUUAGUCGUAGACUAUAGAGAGGUUAAUAAAAGAUGUCACGUACUUCAACAACCUAAUCCUUCUACUCUGCCACAAUGUACGUUUGAGAUGGCACAGUUCCAACAAAGUAAGUGGGUCGGAGUCACAUUGGAUCUAAAAAACAUGUUCUUUUCCAUCCCGAUAACUGACCUGGAAGGAAUACUAAACAUGUGCAUUGAUGGCAUUAUGUACAGGUGGACGGUUUGUCCACAAGGAUAUCGCAACGCUCCGUCAUUAGCUGCUGCUGCCAUGAAUAAUACCCUAAAGAAUUUUCAAGCCUCAUACUCUCUUCCCCCAGAGGAGGAAUUGAGAAUUUGGAGUUAUGUCGAUGAUAUUGCCAUCAUGGGUCGUGAUAGUUCCGUAGUUGCUAGUAUAGUCAACCAACUAGUCGCUCACCUUCAGAGUGAGGGAUGGACGAUCAACGAGGAAAAGUCAGGCCUACAUGCUGUAGAUGACAUCAUGUUCCUUGGCACUUGAUACAUCGGUUCCAUCAGCCACGGAAUCUCGCAUGAGGGUCCUAACAUCGAUCCAUUAAAAACAUUCCUCCCUGUCACUAAGAGGCACUUUCAACAGCUUUUGGGUCAUUUGAAUUGGUAUCGACAUUAUGUUGGACCCAGUGAUUUGGCACUCCUCACCAAAUUGCAGCGACAGAUCCGUAACAAAUCCCAAAAGUCCACGCCCUGGACGAAAGGAGACCAGCGGAACCUGCUUCGCCUGCUAGCCACGGUUAAAGAUACCCAGCUCCAUGCCAUCAAUCUAGGUGAGUCACUAACUGUAACCCUUGGGUUCACCACAAACCACGUGUGGGCUGUCGUACAUAACCCUCGCGAUGAGCUAGUAUACACGGCCCAUAAGACGCUUCAAGCGGCACAACAUCGAUAUGGAGCUGUAGGAAAAAUCCUCCUAGCCGAACAACUGGUGGAGCCAUUAGCAAGGGGGCAUGGGACGUUACGCGCUCCUGGUGCCACAUUGUUAUCCUUGCUGGAUGCGGAAAGAGUCGACCCACAUUUUCAGGGGGAGUCUAAGACCUGGAAUACGCUAGUGCUUACCCACCAUUACAACUGGCAUUGUUGGAGGUUGGAAGACAUGGCACCUGAUCCAAGCCCAGAAGGUGAGGAGAAGGUCCCUACACUGUAUGGAACUUCUGCCUCGGCGUGGAUGGCCUCAGAUGGAACUUCCCGACAUGGCGGAGGCUAUGGGUAUUAUUGCAAGGCUUGUAACGAUAGGGAAAUAUUUCAAGCCAACCCAGAUGAUAAUUCGGCCCCAAAAUGUGAAUUGUUAGGAUUCCUCAAGGUACUAGAACAUUGUCUGACACAUCAUAAUGACUCGCUCCCCGUUCCAAUCAUCGCAAUUGAUUCGCAAUACAUUUAUAAAAUUCUUACCGGUACAGCUUUUCCCUCCGAAAAUUUAAAUGAUUGGCAAGACAUCUGGAAAACUUUAACUAAAUUUGUACGUCUCCUGUUGGUUAAGCACACUAAGUCCCACCGUCCGGAUACUGAUCCAGUACAUGAGGUCAUUGAUAAGCUCUUAGAAGAUCCACUCCAGACCAACAUAGUCUUGCCUAUCACAUCUACCUCCGGUCCUGAAGUAAAUCCAUUCCUCACAUGGCUUCACUAAAAUUGGGGUCACCCAGGACCACGGGCCUGCCAUCAACGUUGGUGCCGAACCCUUACGGAGCUGGCCUCAUACGGAGCUCGGUGCGAUUGGAAAAAGGUAGCUCAGGCCUGUGAGAUACGUGCAAAAGAAAAGUGCCAUAGAACCAAACAUCAGCUCGGAGCUUUCGAUUCUUCACAGUUUCAGGCAGGAAAAGUUUGGCAGGUAGAUUUGCUAGGACCCCUCCCAGGGUCUAAGCCACAAAAUAAAGGACUAGUUGUUGUCGACUUGGGAACAAGACAAUUACAAGUUAUUCCUUUACGAAAAAGCAAUGCCACUGCUGUUAUUUCUGCCUUAACUUCUGUAUUUGCCACCUGGCAACCUCCUCAUGAGAUUCAGUCUGAUGGGGGACCCCCUUUUAACUCUAAUGCUCUAGACAAAUUUGCUCGUCUUCACAAUGUAGCCUGGCAUCUCCAUCUGCCAUAUCACCCGCAGUCCAACGGCGUUGUGGAAAGACACAUAGGCCUGUACAAAGAACAACUCCUCCUCAGAGGAGGAGGGACGUUUAAAAACUGGACUAAAUUCAAUCAUGGUGUUCUCAUCUCACUGAACACUGCAAAACCAUUAUGGGACGAAGCUAAUGUCCAGGAACCCCCACCUUGGGAACCCAAGCUCCAGCCAGAUGAGUUAGUGUGGAUCUCAAUACUGCACCCCCAUCAGUCUCAUCCACAAGUUCACAAAGGAACCGUUCAACGGUCAGGACAAUAUCCUAAUACCUAUUCGGUUCAAUUAGAAGAAUAGCCUGAUCGUCCUAUUAUCGUUCAUCACAACUGGAUGACUCGCCGCUCCGACGUUCACCCAGUAUCCUUACAGUGAAUUCAGUUAUAAGUCUCUUUUGUUUUGUGUUGUUGUCCUCUUUCUUCACAGGUUUAAUUCCAGCAAAGCAGUAAUCCACAACCGCCCGAUUGUGAGAUUCAUCGAGUACCAAACUACAGUUCAUUCGAGUCAAUAGAGCGAUGGUUGUGAAGGAGACACUGAGACGGCGAACGUCCAUUCGCUCAGGACUUACUAUAACACUAUUCCCUCUCAUUGUAUUAAGUAUUUUAUUAACAUUGUCUGUUAAUAGGAGAAGACGGACUGACUACUAAAUGAGGGGAGUCCCAAGCAGAUGUUCUCCAAUCAGAUGAUGAUCAAUAGUUGUUGUUAUAUGUUCAAGUUAUUGUAUUUUGUAAUUUGUUGAAAAGACCGGUCUAUCAAAUUGUUUGUUUGUAUAUAUAUAUAUUAUUGGUUGUUAAAGCUUUGCCAGGUCAGUAAAUCCCAAAACAAAGAUGCCUUAUGAUGUGCUCAUGUGUCUAAAAUUCCAGUUGUGCCGUCGGCAAGGGGGCAUGUCACAACCCAGUGAUUUUGGUGCCUUGGCACGAUGGAAUUUUCCCGCCACAUGACAGCCUCUUGCACAGCAAAGGUUUUCUGUUGCAACAGAAAACCCCCGGUGCAGGAGAGUUCCUGCCAUUCAAAUGCAAAUUUGUGUCCCGCUAUUGGCCAGUUCUAAAUUAUUCCUACGUGGCGGCCAGUGAUUGGCUUGCUAGCCGUUUAAAAUUUUGUGCGACUUCCGCCCAAGUCGGAGAACUUUAAGCACGCUGCAGAGUGCUUCUAAAAGAGAUCUGACUUGCGGCUGAGCUGAUCAAUAGACUGAUCACCUAUCGAUUCUUCUCCCCGUCACCGAGCGCAAUCCCCGACGUACCCUUUCCCCGCUGGCUUGAUUUGUGGACGGAUGAGCUGGUCUGAGCCCUGCCAGCUUGAACAACUAACAUAGUUGUUCAAGCGACCGGACCGUCUGUGUCGCAGCUACAAGCGGCGUAAGUAAAGUUUUACAGCCAUUAAGCUUUGUCCGCCUCUCUAUUCACCAGCCCGCCCAACGAAUGAAUAAUUACUAAAUCACCUCGAGUCGGCUCUGGCCGUCCGAGACAAUGUCUAGAAAAAUUUCUGCUCAGUACUAUCUCAUAACAUUUGGAUAAUUUUGUCACCUCCUUGAAGAGUGCCUCAUCCACCUCUUCUCUCUGAUGUGGUGGUCUAUAAUAAAUCCCCACCAUAUUAUAUGUGGUAUAUCUUUCACUUUUUAUCUUCAUCCAAAUAUGUUCUGGUCUUCUACCUUCUUCUUCCUAAACCAAGUAACCAAGUGUGUAUGUAUGUUCUUCAGGACACAGAAAAAUCUUCCUCUAUCCAGUGAUAACAUGACAAGGCUCUAAUCCUGAUUGUGACCCCUGGCCCCUAUAUUUUUAUAAAUAUUUGUUAUCAUCUUUGACAUAUUCAAAAAUAAAUUAAAAAUGUUUGAUUAUCAGA